AUUGAACGCUGGCGGCAUGCCUUACACAUGCAAGUCGAACGGUAACAGGUUAAGCUGACGAGUGGCGAACGGGUGAGUAAUGUAUCGGAACGUGCCCAGUCGUGGGGGAUAACUACUCGAAAGAGUGGCUAAUACCGCAUACGACCUGAGGGUGAAAGCGGGGGACCGUAAGGCCUCGCGCGAUUGAGCGGCCGAUAUCAGGUUAGCUAGUUGGUGGGGUAAAAGCCCACCAAGGCGACGAUCUGUAGCUGGUCUGAGAGGACAACCAGCCAGACUGGGACUGAGACACGGCCCAGACUCCUACGGGAGGCAGCAGUGGGGAAUUUUGGACAAUGGACGCAAGUCUGAUCCAGCCAUGCCGCGUGCGGGAAGAAGGCCUUCGGGUUGUAAACCGCUUUUGUCAGGGAAGAAACGAGUUUCUCUAAUACAGAGACUUAAUGACGGUACCUGAAGAAUAAGCACCGGCUAACUACGUGCCAGCCGCCGCAGUAAAAC
rnacentral:rRNA from 1 species